UCACUCAGCUCCAGGUGCCGAUGUCAUGCGUGCGGCUCGGCUCCAACACGCGCCGCCGCUCAGGAGCGGUGUCUCCCCUCCGCACCCUCCCGCUCUCCCCUCCAUCAGCUGCUCCACUAUGGGACCCGCCAUCGUCCGUCCGGCCCUCCUCGCCUGGUCCGGCGGCUUGCGCGCCCGGCCGUCCUCGCCUCGCCUGUUUGUCGAGCCCGGCCGUAGGGUAGAAGAAGGAGCUGAGAUGGGGCAGCCAUGCGGGAGGCCAUCGAGCUGCCGCUCCUGGUGCUCUGCCGGGGCAGGUGUAAGAAGGGCCCACUCUCGUUGUUGCCGAGUGAGUGAGUAAGCUCCCAAAUCCGCCGCCGCCGCCAGAUCCCGUCUCUGCCGUGGCCAUGCGCCGGUCUACCAUCGGAUCCCGUCCCUCCUCGAGUUCUGCCCCUGUCCGCCCGUCCUUGCCUUGGCCGCCCUCUUGUUCCCCUGCCCCGGCUAUCUGUCCGCCAAUUCAGUCCCUGCCGUGGCCAGGUCAAUUGUUCAGUUGUUAUGCCAUGCUUGUCACUCAAUUGCUUCAGGAAUUGUUCAGUUGCUAUGCUUGUCACUCAAUUUGCAGCAAUCUCUGAGACCAGGCCAACAAUAACUGUUCUGUCCGAAACUCUGCUUAGUGGUUACUGUCAAGCUGAUCUGAUGCCCAACUUGUAAUUCUUCUUCCUUUCAUGUUGCAGGAAGUUCUUAAAUGGAAAAAAACAUGGUGAUGUAUAAAUUGAAGAAAGACAUGGCUGCUUUGAAGCAGAUGGUGGUUAAAUUAUCAAGCUGGCGAAAGAUCAAGUUUGCUGAAAUACAAGACUCUUAUAAAUCAAGCACCGAAGGUUGCACUGCUCUGUGUCUCGAACAAUCCAAAGAGCCAUCCACCAAUGAGGGUCGUGGUGAAGAUGCUGCUGGAAGCCAAGGAAGAGGACAAGCCGAUGUUGAAGUUGGUACCUCCGGACAUCUGACCUGAAGCAAACCCGUCUGAAGAAUAAUGAAUAAAAGAUGUGUUUGCUCUUCUUGGAUAAUGUACUCCAUACCAAUUAACAUCAUAUCUAGUUCUGAUAGCAGCUAGCUAGUUCUGAAACAUCGUCAAAACUUGUAACUAUACUAGCCUUUUGCUCUGAAUGAAAAGUGUUGGUUGCUAUCAAUUUGUCCUA